UACGUAGGGUGCAAGCGUUGUCCGGAAUUAUUGGGCGUAAAGAGCUCGUAGGUGGCGUGUCGCGUCUGCCGUGAAAGCCCCCGGCUCAACUGGGGAGGGUCAUUCGAUACUGUUCGACUCGAAGGCAGGAGAGGGAAGCGGAAUUCCCGGUGUAGUGGUGAAAUGCGUAGAUAUCGGGAGGAACACCAGUGGCGAAGGCGGCUCACUGGACCGGAACUGACGCUGAGGCGCGAAAGCGUGGGGAGCAAACAGG
rnacentral:rRNA from 1 species